CCUACGUGAGGCAGCAGUGGGGAAUAUUGGACAAUGGAGGGAACCCUGAUCCAGCGACGCCGCGUGAGGGAAGAAGGAUUUCGGGAUGGAAAGCUCUAUUAGCAGGGAAGAAAGAAAUGACGGAACCUGACGAAGAAGCACCGGCUAACUACGGGCCAGCAGCAGCGGUAAUACGUAGGGGGCAGGCGUUAUCCGGAUUUACUGGGUGUAAAGGGAGCGUAGACGGCGAUGCAAGUCAGAUGUGAAUGGCGGGGGCCCAACCCCUGGACUGGCUUGGAAACGGUUUGGCUGGAGUGCAGGAGAGGUAAGCGGAAUUCCUAGUGUAGCGGUGAAAUGCGUAGAUAUUAGGAAGAACACCAGUGGCGAAGGCGGCUUACUGGACUGUAACUGACGUUGAGGCUCGAAAGCGUGGGGAGCAAACAGGAUUAGAUACCCUUGUAGUC
rnacentral:rRNA from 1 species